UACACUGUAAAAAAAAUCCGUAAAAAUACAGUACAAUCUACUGUAUAAACGUGAAGGAAUUUUCCGUAUUAGUCAUUUACAGGUAUUUUUCUGUAUUUCUCAACUACUGCAAUGCAUUGUGGGAAAAAGAACCUGAAAAGGAGGGAAAAGUAAGCGCAAGAGCAGCCAUUAGGCUUCUUUCAGGCUUCAUCUGGAUUUUGGAUUCUGAAGUUGGAGAAACUGCCUUCAAAUUUCUGUGUGCAGAGCAAUGGCCAAGAAAAGGAAAGACUUCCCCGAGUGGAAAAAAAAGAUGAAGAUACAAGCUGGUGAUGAUCCAGAGCAGCUGGUCUCAGGAAAUGAAGAAAAACCCUGAUCACCUUCUCUACAAACACAAGAAUAAAUUGCGACUAGUCUCAAUGGCUGACACGGAGGAGCAACACAGCGACACGUUAACUCCGACUGCUGCAGUUCCUGUAUGAACUGAGCAACUCUUAAAAUCCAAGGAAAAGCUGAGUGUAUUUUACUUAAAGCUCAGAUGGACCUUGAUGUACUAACAUGCAGGCUGCAUUCAGGACUUUGUCACACUGUUAUAUGAAGAGCGGUAACAAGACUUUGUAGUAAUUUGUCUUACUAUUGUCUUAUUUGUUGUGAUUUAGGGUCUGUGCGCACUAGCAGAGGUUUUUGUUUGUAACUGUAACCUCGUUUUCAGAGCCUUGUCUAACAUUUAAUGGUCAUGAAAUAUGUCAGCCUUUUUCCUCUACUUAACCAGCUUAGAGAAUUUGAACACCGUGGAGAAAAAGGUGUGCAUUAAGGAUUUUGAACUAUGAUGUUUAAGUGUUGUCACUGCUGAGGAUUCGUGGACACAGAUCCUUAUUCACUAUGCUGCUGUUUACAGUUUAACUUUUCAUCAGAACAAGCACUUCUAAUUAUACUUUGCUCCUCACUGACAAAACAAGUCCCGUAAAUACACUUUUAUCUUUAAGUUUGGGACAGUAAUCUGUCUUAAUUUAUUAUGUGUUGUAGUUAUCAUAUGGGGAAAAGUCCUGUGGUUAUCCAUCCUUCCUGUUCGAAUAAACCCAAAGUUCAGGAACAUCUUCUUUAGAUCUGUUCAGUUGUAUUCAUGUGGCACCACUUAAACAGUCAACAAAUUUUGACUCAAGUAUGUUAUAUUGUAAGGUAAAGAGCCCA
ensembl:lncRNA